rnacentral:rRNA from 1 species
GUUAAGCGACUAAGCGUACACGGUGGAUGCCCUGGCAGUCAGAGGCGAUGAAGGACGUGCUAAUCUGCGAUAAGCGUCGGUGAGGUGAUAUGAACCGUUAUAACCGGCGAUUUCCGAAUGGGGAAACCCAGUGUGUUUCGACACACUAUCAUUAACUGAAUCCAUAGGUUAAUGAGGCGAACCGGGGGAACUGAAACAUCUAAGUACCCCGAGGAAAAGAAAUCAACCGAGAUUCCCCCAGUAGCGGCGAGCGAACGGGGAGGAGCCCAGAGCCUGAAUCAGUGUGUGUGUUAGUGGAAGCGUCUGGAAAGGCGCGCGAUACAGGGUGACAGCCCCGUACACAAAAAUGCACAUAUUGUGAGCUCGAUGAGUAGGGCGGGACACGUGGUAUCCUGUCUGAAUAUGGGGGGACCAUCCUCCAAGGCUAAAUACUCCUGACUGACCGAUAGUGAACCAGUACCGUGAGGGAAAGGCGAAAAGAACCCCGGCGAGGGGAGUGAAAAAGAACCUGAAACCGUGUACGUACAAGCAGUGGGAGCCUCUUUAUGGGGUGACUGCGUACCUUUUGUAUAAUGGGUCAGCGACUUAUAUUCUGUAGCAAGGUUAACCGAAUAGGGGAGCCGAAGGGAAACCGAGUCUUAACUGGGCGUUAAGUUGCAGGGUAUAGACCCGAAACCCGGUGAUCUAGCCAUGGGCAGGUUGAAGGUUGGGUAACACUAACUGGAGGACCGAACCGACUAAUGUUGAAAAAUUAGCGGAUGACUUGUGGCUGGGGGUGAAAGGCCAAUCAAACCGGGAGAUAGCUGGUUCUCCCCGAAAGCUAUUUAGGUAGCGCCUCGUGAAUUCAUCUCCGGGGGUAGAGCACUGUUUCGGCAAGGGGGUCAUCCCGACUUACCAACCCGAUGCAAACUGCGAAUACCGGAGAAUGUUAUCACGGGAGACACACGGCGGGUGCUAACGUCCGUCGUGAAGAGGGAAACAACCCAGACCGCCAGCUAAGGUCCCAAAGUCAUGGUUAAGUGGGAAACGAUGUGGGAAGGCCCAGACAGCCAGGAUGUUGGCUUAGAAGCAGCCAUCAUUUAAAGAAAGCGUAAUAGCUCACUGGUCGAGUCGGCCUGCGCGGAAGAUGUAACGGGGCUAAACCAUGCACCGAAGCUGCGGCAGCGACACUAUGUGUUGUUGGGUAGGGGAGCGUUCUGUAAGCCUGUGAAGGUGGCCUGUGAGGGUUGCUGGAGGUAUCAGAAGUGCGAAUGCUGACAUAAGUAACGAUAAAGCGGGUGAAAAGCCCGCUCGCCGGAAGACCAAGGGUUCCUGUCCAACGUUAAUCGGGGCAGGGUGAGUCGACCCCUAAGGCGAGGCCGAAAGGCGUAGUCGAUGGGAAACAGGUUAAUAUUCCUGUACUUGGUGUUACUGCGAAGGGGGGACGGAGAAGGCUAUGUUGGCCGGGCGACGGUUGUCCCGGUUUAAGCGUGUAGGCUGGUUUUCCAGGCAAAUCCGGAAAACCAAGGCUGAGGCGUGAUGACGAGGCACUACGGUGCUGAAGCGACAAAUGCCCUGCUUCCAGGAAAAGCCUCUAAGCAUCAGGUAACAUCAAAUCGUACCCCAAACCGACACAGGUGGUCAGGUAGAGAAUACCAAGGCGCUUGAGAGAACUCGGGUGAAGGAACUAGGCAAAAUGGUGCCGUAACUUCGGGAGAAGGCACGCUGAUAUGUAGGUGAAGCGACUUGCUCGUGGAGCUGAAAUCAGUCGAAGAUACCAGCUGGCUGCAACUGUUUAUUAAAAACACAGCACUGUGCAAACACGAAAGUGGACGUAUACGGUGUGACGCCUGCCCGGUGCCGGAAGGUUAAUUGAUGGGGUUAGCGGUAACGCGAAGCUCUUGAUCGAAGCCCCGGUAAACGGCGGCCGUAACUAUAACGGUCCUAAGGUAGCGAAAUUCCUUGUCGGGUAAGUUCCGACCUGCACGAAUGGCGUAAUGAUGGCCAGGCUGUCUCCACCCGAGACUCAGUGAAAUUGAACUCGCUGUGAAGAUGCAGUGUACCCGCGGCAAGACGGAAAGACCCCGUGAACCUUUACUAUAGCUUGACACUGAACAUUGAGCCUUGAUGUGUAGGAUAGGUGGGAGGCUUUGAAGUGUGGACGCCAGUCUGCAUGGAGCCGACCUUGAAAUACCACCCUUUAAUGUUUGAUGUUCUAACGUUGGCCCGUAAUCCGGGUUGCGGACAGUGUCUGGUGGGUAGUUUGACUGGGGCGGUCUCCUCCUAAAGAGUAACGGAGGAGCACGAAGGUUGGCUAAUCCUGGUCGGACAUCAGGAGGUUAGUGCAAUGGCAUAAGCCAGCUUGACUGCGAGCGUGACGGCGCGAGCAGGUGCGAAAGCAGGUCAUAGUGAUCCGGUGGUUCUGAAUGGAAGGGCCAUCGCUCAACGGAUAAAAGGUACUCCGGGGAUAACAGGCUGAUACCGCCCAAGAGUUCAUAUCGACGGCGGUGUUUGGCACCUCGAUGUCGGCUCAUCACAUCCUGGGGCUGAAGUAGGUCCCAAGGGUAUGGCUGUUCGCCAUUUAAAGUGGUACGCGAGCUGGGUUUAGAACGUCGUGAGACAGUUCGGUCCCUAUCUGCCGUGGGCGCUGGAGAACUGAGGGGGGCUGCUCCUAGUACGAGAGGACCGGAGUGGACGCAUCACUGGUGUUCGGGUUGUCAUGCCAAUGGCACUGCCCGGUAGCUAAAUGCGGAAGAGAUAAGUGCUGAAAGCAUCUAAGCACGAAACUUGCCCCGAGAUGAGUUCUCCCUGACUCCUUGAGAGUCCUGAAGG